rnacentral:tmRNA from 1 species
GGGGGCGUUUAUGGAUUCGACAGGGGUCCCCCGAGCUCAUGAAGCGUGUCGGAGGGUUGUCUCCGUAUCAACAACACACAGUUUAUAAUAACUGGCAAAACAAACAAUAAUUUAGCAGUAGCUGCCUAAUCGCGCUCUGCAUCACCUAACAGCAUCGCCUAUGUGCUGUUAACGUGAUUCAACCUAUAGUAGGAUACGCUCGUCACUGCCGUUUGAAGUCUGACGAGAAGAGAUAAACCAAACUAGCGUCAUGUUGGUUGUCUAUCACCUUGCAUGACGUGAAAUGUAUAGAUAGACUACGCACGUAGAAACAUUUGUAUCAGGACCUCUGGACGCGGGUUCAAAUCCCGCCGCCUCCACUA